rnacentral:misc_RNA from 1 species
UUCAAAAAAGUGUCAGCAAAUGGAAAUGGAUGCAAUGACAAUUAGGUAAAUACGUAAAUUAUUUUUCACUUAUAAAUUAGCAAAUGUAGAUGGAUGAUAACUCAUAAAGGCUAAUGUUAUCCAACAACUGUUUCUCCAUCUCCGCGUCGCUUUAAUACAUUUUAUCUAAAUAAUCUUUAAGUUAAAGGUGCUUUACAACUAAUUUUGCUCCAUAAACAUAGGGAGUAGGGACUAGUUGCUGAUAUUUUAGCGUACUAGGAUUAUAUAUUAUGUUUGCUCAAGUGGGUCUUUUUUAAAUUAGAGAAAGCUUGGAAAUUCCAAGAAGAGAACGACAUGAGCCUGAAAGCCGAGGCAUGGUAGCAGUUGAUGAAGAGGCCUACUCUGAAUUUGAGUGGGCGUCUGCUGCGGAUAGAAGCGCCUCUUAUUGCCGAUCGUUGGCCUUAACAGUAAGUUCAAGUAGUAGAUUUUUCCAUUAUGAUUUGUAGAAUAAUGUGGUUAAUUAGCUUAUAAUAUGCAUUAACACUGUCAUUAAUUUCUUUUCUCUUUUGGGUCAACAACAGAUAACUACUUUGGCUGACCCAGUAAUACGGACCUUUAAUGGGGUUGAAUUCUUGGAUUUGUAUCGCUGGGCGGCGGUGGCUAAUUUUAUUGGAAUUGCCCUAGUGGUAGUAUGAUAGGAUGGGUCAUUUUGACGGUCAGUCUUCAGCACCAGUUGUGUUUUACAUGGGUCAGAAUCUCAUGGCCCAGUUUUUAAAUGGCAGCCAAUUAGUCAAAUUUUAGGAAACAUUAAAAACAGCUGAAAAUUGUAGUUUGGGAGUAAAUAAUUUAAGUUUGUCAACAUAAAUUCUUGCUUUUGUUACCUAAUUGUUUUAUUAAAUGUUUAAAUUGAACUGGCAGUUUACGGCACUUUUGCUUAUAAAGCAUUUCUUCGCUACACUCACCGGAGGAACAGAAGAUUACCCAUUCACGCUUGUCACUGUAAGUAGCUUAAUUUCUUAUCCUGGCUGUUCGUUUGCACUUACUACGUGAAAAUGAAAUUAAGAUUUUCAGUCACUUUCUUCAGAUACUUGUCUUAAGGACUAGUGGGAUUCUUCUUCCAAUGUACAUAGUG